AUUUAUUUAGUAUAAUAAGUACCCUUGACUUCCAAUCAAAAAGUCUAAUAUUUAGAAUAAAUA
rnacentral:tRNA from 1 species